rnacentral:rRNA from 1 species
AAACAUUGAUAAUAUCCUACAAUUAUUAUCCGCCCGGGUACUACGAGCAUCAGCUUAAAACCCAAAGGACUUGGCGGUGCUUUAGAUCCACCUAGAGGAGCCUGUUCUAGAACCGAUAACCCCCGUUCAACCUCACCCUUCCUUGUUUUUCCCGCCUAUAUACCACCGUCGUCAGCUUACCCUGUGAAGGCCUAAUAGUAAGCAAAAUUGGCACAGCCCAAAACGUCAGGUCGAGGUGUAGCGUAUGGAAGGGGAAGAAAUGGGCUACAUUCCCUAACCCAGUGCAUACGGACGACACACUGAAACAUGUAUCUGAAGGAGGAUUUAGCAGUAAGCAGAAAAUAGAGCGUUCU